rnacentral:rRNA from 1 species
UACAGAGGUCUCAAGCGUUGUUCGGAUUCAUUGGGCGUAAAGGGUGUGUAGGUGGCGCGCUAAGUCGGGUGUGAAAUUUCGGAGCUUAACUCCGAAACUGCAUUCGGUACUGGCGUGCUUGAGGACUGGAGAGGAGACUGGAAUUCAUGGUGUAGCAGUGAAAUGCGUAGAGAUCAUGAGGAAGACCAGUGGCGAAGGCGGGUCUCUGGACAGUUCCUGACACUGAGACACGAAGGCCAGGGGAGCAAACGGG